UCAAGGCUUAAUUUGUUCUCUCUGUUUGUGUAGGUCGAUUUUCAAAUGGAUCACGUGAACCUUGGAAUUGAGAGCUUUGAAAUGUGCCGAGAUCUUAUGGGCCCGUCACAUCAUGUCAGAUGGAAGAAAUUCAUUUGAUCUGCCAGCGCAAUGACUCACACACGCACAUGACUCAUAUCUCCAGAUACCUCAGAAGGCUCCCGUGUAAACAACACCUCGGUCUCAAUUGGACACCGCCCUGCCUAAUGAAAGAAUAAAUCAUGUAAAAUACUA